rnacentral:rRNA from 1 species
GUGAACGCUGGCGGUCGGCCUCACACAUGCAAGUCGAACGGCAGCACCGUAAGAGCUUGCUCUUACGGGUGGCGAGUGGCGGACGGGUGAGGAAUACAUCGGAAUCUACUUUUUCGUGGGGGAUAACGUAGGGAAACUUACGCUAAUACCGCAUACGACCUACGGGUGAAAGCAGGGGAUCUUCGGACCUUGCGCGAUUGAAUGAGCCGAUGUCGGAUUAGCUGGUUGGCGGGGUAAAGGCCCACCAAGGCGACGAUCCGUAGCUGGUCUGAGAGGAUGGUCAGCCACACUGGAACUGAGACACGGUCCAGACUCCUACGGGAGGCAGCAGUGGGGAAUAUUGGACAAUGGGCGCAAGCCUGAUCCAGCCAUACCGCGUGGGUGAAGAAGGCCUUCGGGUUGUAAAGCCCUUUUGUUGGGAAAGAAAAGCAGCAGGUUAAUACCCCGCUGUUCUGACGGUACCCAAAGAAUAAGCACCGGCUAACUUCGUG